rnacentral:rRNA from 1 species
UGACCAACCUGCCCCUUGCUCUGGGAUAACCCCGGGGAAACCGGAGCUAAUACCGGAUACGAGACCGUGCGGCAUCACGCGGUCUGGAAAGUUUUUCGGCAAGGGAUGGGGUCGCGGCCUAUCAGCUUGUUGGUGGGGUAAUGGCCCACCAAGGCGACGACGGGUAGCCGGCCUGAGAGGGCGACCGGCCACACUGGGACUGAGACACGGCCCAGACUCCUACGGGAGGCA